GACGAACGCUGGCGGCGUGCCUAAUACAUGCAAGUUGAGCGCUGAAGGUUGGUACUUGUACCAACUGGAUGAGCAGCGAACGGGUGAGUAACGCGUGGGGAAUCUGCCUUUGAGCGGGGGACAACAUUUGGAAACGAAUGCUAAUACCGCAUAAAAACUUUAAACACAAGUUUUAAGUUUGAAAGAUGCAGUUGCAUCACUCAAAGAUGAUCCCGCGUUGUAUUAGCUAGUUGGUGAGGUAAAGGCUCACCAAGGCGAUGAUACAUAGCCGACCUGAGAGGGUGAUCGGCCACAUUGGGACUGAGACACGGCCCAAGCUCCUACGGGAGGCAGCAGUAGGGAAUCUUCGGCAAUGGACGAAAGUCUGACCGAGCAACGCCGCGUGAGUGAAGAAGGGUUUCGGAUCGUAAAACUCUGUUGGUAGAGAAGAACGUUGGUGAGAGUGGAAAGCUCAUCAAGUGACGGUAACUACCCAGAAAGGGACGGCUAACUACGUG
rnacentral:rRNA from 1 species